rnacentral:rRNA from 1 species
GACGAACGCUGGCGGCGUGCUUAACACAUGCAAGUCGAACGGAAAGGCCCUGCUUUUGUGGGGUGCUCGAGUGGCGAACGGGUGAGUAACACGUGAGUAACCUGCCCUUGACUUUGGGAUAACUUCAGGAAACUGGGGCUAAUACCGGAUAGGAGCUCCUGCUGCAUGGUGGGGGUUGGAAAGUUUCGGCGGUUGGGGAUGGACUCGCGGCUUAUCAGCUUGUUGGUGGGGUAGUGGCUUACCAAGGCUUUGACGGGUAGCCGGCCUGAGAGGGUGACCGGCCACAUUGGGACUGAGAUACGGCCCAGACUCCUACGGGAGGCAGCAGUGGGGAAUAUUGCACAAUGGGCGGAAGCCUGAUGCAGCAACGCCGCGUGCGGGAUGACGGCCUUCGGGUUGUAAACCGCUUUCGCCUGUGACGAAGCGUGAGUGACGGUAAUGGGUAAAGAAGCACCGGCUAACUACGUGCCAGCAGCCGCGGUGAUACGUAGGGUGCGAGCGUUGUCCGGAUUUAUUGGGCGUAAAGGGCUCGUAGGUGGUUGAUCGCGUCGGAAGUGUAAUCUUGGGGCUUAACCCUGAGCGUGCUUUCGAUACGGGUUGACUUGAGGAAGGUAGGGGAGAAUGGAAUUCCUGGUGGAGCGGUGGAAUGCGCAGAUAUCAGGAGGAACACCAGUGGCGAAGGCGGUUCUCUGGGCCUUUCCUGACGCUGAGGAGCGAAAGCGUGGGGAGCGAACAGGCUUAGAUACCCUGGUAGUCCACGCUGUAAACGGUGGGUACUAGGUGUGGGGUCCAUUCCACGGGUUCCGUGCCGUAGCUAACGCUUUAAGUACCCCGCCUGGGGAGUACGGCCGCAAGGCUAAAACUCAAAGGAAUUGACGGGGCCCCGCACAAGCGGCGGAGCAUGCGGAUUAAUUCGAUGCAACGCGUAGAACCUUACCUGGGUUUGACAUGGAUCGGGAGUGCUCAGAGAUGGGUGUGCCUCUUUUGGGGUCGGUUCACAGGUGGUGCAUGGCUGUCGUCAGCUCGUGUCGUGAGAUGUUGGGUUAAGUCCCGCAACGAGCGCAACCCUUGUUCACUGUUGCCAGCACGUUAUGGUGGGGACUCAGUGGAGACCGCCGGGGUCAACUCGGAGGAAGGUGGGGAUGACGUCAAGUCAUCAUGCCCCUUAUGUCCAGGGCUUCACGCAUGCUACAAUGGCUGGUACAGAGGGUGGCGAGCCUGUGAGGGUGAGCGAAUCUCGGAAAGCCGGUCUCAGUUCGGAUUGGGGUCUGCAACUCGACCUCAUGAAGUCGGAGUCGCUAGUAAUCGCAGAUCAGCAACGCUGCGGUGAAUAAAUUCCCGGG